CAGUAGCCGCGGGAAUACGUAGGUGGCAAGCGUUGUCCGGAUUUAUUGGGCGUAAAGCGAGCGCAGGCGGUUUCUUAAGUCUGAUGUGAAAGCCCCCGGCUCAACCGGGGAGGGUCAUUGGAAACUGGGAGACUUGAGUGCAGAAGAGGAGAGUGGAAUUCCAUGUGUAGCGGUGAAAUGCGUAGAUAUAUGGAGGAACACCAGUGGCGAAGGCGGCUCUCUGGUCUGUAACUGACGCUGAGGCUCGAAAGCGUGGGGAGCGAACAGGAUUAGAUACCCCCGUAGUCCCUGUCUCUUAUAC
rnacentral:rRNA from 1 species